GCAAGUCUGGUGCCAGCAGCCGCGGUAAUUCCAGCUCCAGUAGCGUAUAUCAAAGUUGCUGCGCUUAAAACGCUCGUAGUUGGAUCACUAACUGCGGGUCGGUGGAGCUAGGGCAUGUGCAAAACAUCCCAUCGCCGGAGUGUGGUGUCCUCAUUGCAUUUCGGAGUUGGGAUAGUAUAUGUUCUAGUUCAAUAGCCGGCUCGUAGUAAUUGCAUGUGAGGAUGACUGUUGGUCUUAAGUGCGUCGACAGUCGUGUCUCACGGGGUGUGCCUUGAGUAAAUCAGAGUGCUUAAAGCAGGCUUACGCUUGAAUGUUGAUAGCAUGGAACGAACAAUCGUGUAUGGUGUGUGCUGAUUCUGGUGCGGGAGUGAUCCUUGCACUACAGUACACGACACCGACCGCCAAUUACGGAUGUUGGUUCCGUAUUGGGGUACUGAUUAAGAGGAGCGGUUGGGGGCAUUGGUAUUCGGUAGCGAGAGGUGAAAUUCUUGGACCUACCGAGGACUAACAAAUGCGAAGGCAUCUGUCCAGACCGUUUCCAUUAAUCAAGAACGAUAGUGAGAGGUUCGAAGACGAUCAGAUACCGUCCUAGUUCUCACUGUAAACGAUGCCGACCCGGGAUCAGCUUGUUAGCUAAUAUAUGCUCGAGGUUGGUCCCCCUGGGAAACCUAAAGUCUUUCGGUUGCGGGGGGAGUAUGGUCGCAAGGCUGAAACUUAAAGGAAUUGACGGAAGGGCACCACCAGGGGUGGAGCCUGCGGCUUAAUUUGACUCAACACGGGAAAACUUACCUGGUCCGGACAUCAAAAGGAUAAUCAGACUUACGCUCUUAUUUGAUAUGGUGAUUGGUGGUGCAUGGCCGUUCUUAGUUCGUGGAGUGAUCUGUCAGGCUUAUCCCGGUAACGAACGAGACUGCGCUCUCCAUUUGACGGGUCGGAGAAGGUGCGGAUCUUGGUAAAAUUUGGCAACAAAUUUUGCCUCGACUUGCAUUGCAGGCAGAGAGGGUAGGAAACAUGGAACCACGGCAACGUGGGAAAGUGUGUCUGAUACCUCUUUCCCGCCGAUUAUACGAAGUAUGGUGGUCAAAAGCCGUACGUUGUAUCAUGGAGAGACAACGGAACAUUAUAAAAUCCGAGGAAGUGCAGCUAUAACAGGUCUGUGAUGCCCUUAGAUGUUCAGGGCUGCACGCGCGCUACAAUGGCGAUGACAGCGAGUUUCUGGAUCGAAAGAUUCGGGUAACCUUUAAUCAUCGCCGUGAUGGGGACUGACGUUUGUAAAUACGUCACAAAAGAGGAAUCCCUAGUACGUCCGAUUCAUUAAAUCGGGCGGAUUUAGUCCCUGCCCUUUGUACACACCGCCCGUCGCUACUACCGAGUGAAUGGUGUCAUAAUGCCUUGGGAGCGGAUU
rnacentral:rRNA from 1 species